rnacentral:lncRNA from 1 species
GGUUGGGGAUGGGGAGGGGUUCCCGUUGGGUGCCGGAGAGGGCACGGGCAGGUGGCUCACACCCCCUCGCAUCUUCCCGGGUCCCCAGGCGCUGGUGGCCGAGCUGCACCGGCGGGCGCUGGUGGAGUACGUGCGGCCCCUGUUUCGCGGGCGCCUGCGCUGUGGCUCCGUGCGGACCCGCAGCCGCGUGACCGGGAGGCUCCGGGAGGACGCGGCGCAGCUGCAGAGGCUGUUCCGACGCCUGGAGUCCCAGGCCUCGUGGCUGGACGCCGUGGUGCCCCGUUUGGCCGAAGUUCUACACCUGGAAGACACGCCCAGCAUCCAGAUGGAGGUGGGGAUGCUGGUGCGGGAUUACCCAGACAUCAGGUGAGACCCCCACCCCCACGCCGGCCGGUCCCUUUCUACCCGCGCUGCCCCUCCCGCCGAGCCUUGGCAUCCGUCCCUGCGUUUCCUGCCUCUUGGGCGAGGGAGGGAGGCGGCGAGCGUGUCUGACGGCCGUUUCCUGCUGGAACCAGGGCAUUAUUAAUACGAUUUCCCUCCUUCUCCUGCCGCCGCCGCCGUCGCUGCCGCCGCCGCCACCAGGCUCGCAAACAAACAAGCAGUCACAGGAAGCCCGGGGCAGGGGGGUCGCAGGGCCGCCCGGCGGCAGGAAGGGCCGGCCCAGCAGGGGGAGCCGCGGGGGACACGGGGACACACACGGGCACACGGGCGCACACGCACUGGGACAGUGGCAGGCGCGAUUCAGCUGCUGAUGGACCAUGAACUUUCUCUGCAGUCCUCUCUGAGCCCCAGCGCCCUCCUCUGGUCCAUGGGGACCAUAUUACUCUUUUCAUAGGAUUAUUAAAGAACCAUCCUUGUCAAUUUCUAUAGCAUCACCGUGGUGACAGCAGAAACAAUACCAAUUCUUGCUUAUUGAGGCCUUACCUCAGCAUCCUAUAUACCCACUCUAUAAGUAAGAGGUAUUCUAAGAGGUUUUUUAGAAUAAAAGCUCUUUUAGAACAUAUUCGUAAUUAAAA